rnacentral:rRNA from 1 species
UUAAGCGACUAAGCGUACACGGUGGAUGCCCUGGCAGUCAGAGGCGAUGAAGGACGUGCUAAUCUGCGAUAAGCGUCGGUAAGGUGAUAUGAACCGUUAUAACCGGCGAUUUCCGAAUGGGGAAACCCAGUGUGAUUCGUCACACUAUCAUUAACUGAAUCCAUAGGUUAAUGAGGCGAACCGGGGGAACUGAAACAUCUAAGUACCCCGAGGAAAAGAAAUCAACCGAGAUUCCCCCAGUAGCGGCGAGCGAACGGGGAGCAGCCCAGAGCCUGAAUCAGUGUGUGUGUUAGUGGAAGCGUCUGGAAAGGCGCGCGAUACAGGGUGACAGCCCCGUACACAAAAAUGCACAUAUUGUGAGCUCGAUGAGUAGGGCGGGACACGUGGUAUCCUGUCUGAAUAUGGGGGGACCAUCCUCCAAGGCUAAAUACUCCUGACUGACCGAUAGUGAACCAGUACCGUGAGGGAAAGGCGAAAAGAACCCCGGCGAGGGGAGUGAAAAAGAACCUGAAACCGUGUACGUACAAGCAGUGGGAGCACGCUUAGGCGUGUGACUGCGUACCUUUUGUAUAAUGGGUCAGCGACUUAUAUUCUGUAGCAAGGUUAACCGAAUAGGGGAGCCGAAGGGAAACCGAGUCUUAACUGGGCGUUAAGUUGCAGGGUAUAGACCCGAAACCCGGUGAUCUAGCCAUGGGCAGGUUGAAGGUUGGGUAACACUAACUGGAGGACCGAACCGACUAAUGUUGAAAAAUUAGCGGAUGACUUGUGGCUGGGGGUGAAAGGCCAAUCAAACCGGGAGAUAGCUGGUUCUCCCCGAAAGCUAUUUAGGUAGCGCCUCGUGAAUUCAUCUCCGGGGGUAGAGCACUGUUUCGGCAAGGGGGUCAUCCCGACUUACCAACCCGAUGCAAACUGCGAAUACCGGAGAAUGUUAUCACGGGAGACACACGGCGGGUGCUAACGUCCGUCGUGAAGAGGGAAACAACCCAGACCGCCAGCUAAGGUCCCAAAGUCAUGGUUAAGUGGGAAACGAUGUGGGAAGGCCCAGACAGCCAGGAUGUUGGCUUAGAAGCAGCCAUCAUUUAAAGAAAGCGUAAUAGCUCACUGGUCGAGUCGGCCUGCGCGGAAGAUGUAACGGGGCUAAACCAUGCACCGAAGCUGCGGCAGCGANGCUUAUGCGUUGUUGGGUAGGGGAGCGUUCUGUAAGCCUGCGAAGGUGUGCUGUGAGGCAUGCUGGAGGUAUCAGAAGUGCGAAUGCUGACAUAAGUAACGAUAAAGCGGGUGAAAAGCCCGCUCGCCGGAAGACCAAGGGUUCCUGUCCAACGUUAAUCGGGGCAGGGUGAGUCGACCCCUAAGGCGAGGCCGAAAGGCGUAGUCGAUGGGAAACAGGUUAAUAUUCCUGUACUUGGUGUUACUGCGAAGGGGGGACGGAGAAGGCUAUGUUGGCCGGGCGACGGUUGUCCCGGUUUAAGCGUGUAGGCUGGUUUUCCAGGCAAAUCCGGAAAAUCAAGGCUGAGGCGUGAUGACGAGGCACUACGGUGCUGAAGCAACAAAUGCCCUGCUUCCAGGAAAAGCCUCUAAGCAUCAGGUAACAUCAAAUCGUACCCCAAACCGACACAGGUGGUCAGGUAGAGAAUACCAAGGCGCUUGAGAGAACUCGGGUGAAGGAACUAGGCAAAAUGGUGCCGUAACUUCGGGAGAAGGCACGCUGAUAUGUAGGUGAAGUCCCUUGCGGAUGGAGCUGAAAUCAGUCGAAGAUACCAGCUGGCUGCAACUGUUUAUUAAAAACACAGCACUGUGCAAACACGAAAGUGGACGUAUACGGUGUGACGCCUGCCCGGUGCCGGAAGGUUAAUUGAUGGGGUCAGCGCAAGCGAAGCUCUUGAUCGAAGCCCCGGUAAACGGCGGCCGUAACUAUAACGGUCCUAAGGUAGCGAAAUUCCUUGUCGGGUAAGUUCCGACCUGCACGAAUGGCGUAAUGAUGGCCAGGCUGUCUCCACCCGAGACUCAGUGAAAUUGAACUCGCUGUGAAGAUGCAGUGUACCCGCGGCAAGACGGAAAGACCCCGUGAACCUUUACUAUAGCUUGACACUGAACAUUGAGCCUUGAUGUGUAGGAUAGGUGGGAGGCUUUGAAGUGUGGACGCCAGUCUGCAUGGAGCCGGCCUUGAAAUACCACCCUUUAAUGUUUGAUGUUCUAACGUGGACCCGUGAUCCGGGUUGCGGACAGUGUCUGGUGGGUAGUUUGACUGGGGCGGUCUCCUCCUAAAGAGUAACGGAGGAGCACGAAGGUUGGCUAAUCCUGGUCGGACAUCAGGAGGUUAGUGCAAUGGCAUAAGCCAGCUUGACUGCGAGCGUGACGGCGCGAGCAGGUGCGAAAGCAGGUCAUAGUGAUCCGGUGGUUCUGAAUGGAAGGGCCAUCGCUCAACGGAUAAAAGGUACUCCGGGGAUAACAGGCUGAUACCGCCCAAGAGUUCAUAUCGACGGCGGUGUUUGGCACCUCGAUGUCGGCUCAUCACAUCCUGGGGCUGAAGUAGGUCCCAAGGGUAUGGCUGUUCGCCAUUUAAAGUGGUACGCGAGCUGGGUUUAGAACGUCGUGAGACAGUUCGGUCCCUAUCUGCCGUGGGCGCUGGAGAACUGAGGGGGGCUGCUCCUAGUACGAGAGGACCGGAGUGGACGCAUCACUGGUGUUCGGGUUGUCAUGCCAAUGGCACUGCCCGGUAGCUAAAUGCGGAAGAGAUAAGUGCUGAAAGCAUCUAAGCACGAAACUUGCCCCGAGAUGAGUUCUCCCUGACCCUUUAAGGGUCCUGAAGGAACGUUGAAGACGACGACGUUGAUAGGCCGGGUGUGUAAGCGCAGCGAUGCGUUGAGCUAACCGGUACUAAUGAACCGUGAGGCUUAACCUU